AUUGAACGCUGGCGGCAGGCCUAACACAUGCAAGUCGAACGAGUGGCGGACGGGUGAGUAAUGUCUGGGAAACUGCCCGAUGGAGGGGGAUAACUACUGGAAACGGUAGCUAAUACCGCAUACCAUCGGAUGUGCCCAUAUGGUAUUAGCUAGUAGGUGGGGUAACGGCUCACCUAGGAGACGAUCCCUAGCUGGUCUGAGAGGAUGACCAGCCACACUGGAACGUAGACAGGGUCCAGACUCCUACGGGAGGCAGCAGUGGGGAAGAUGGCACAAUGGGCGCAAGCCUGAUGCAUCCAUGCCGCGUGUAUGAAGAGGGCCUUCGGGUUGUAAAGUACUUUCAGCGAGGAGGCGUUACUCGCAGAAGAAGCACCGGCUAACUCCGUCCCAGCAGCCGCGGUAAUAC
rnacentral:rRNA from 1 species